rnacentral:rRNA from 1 species
UACGAAGGGGGCUAGCGUUGUUCGGAUUUACUGGGCGUAAAGCGCACGUAGGCGGCCCAGCAAGUCGGGUGUGAAAGCCCUCGGCUUAACCGAGGAAGUGCAUUCGAAACUACUGAGCUUGAAUACUGGAGAGGAUCGCGGAAUUCCCGGUGUAGAGGUGAAAUGCGCAGAUAUCAGGAGGAACACCGGUGGCGAAGGCGGGUCUCUGGGCCGAAAUUGACGCUGAGGAGCGAAAGUGUGGGGAGCGAACAGG